AGAACGAGCGCUGGCGGCAUGCCUAAUACAUGCAAGUCGAACGAACUCUUCGGAGUUAGUGGCGCACGGGUGCGUAACGCGUGGGAAUCUGCCCUUGGGUUCGGAAUAACAGUUGGAAACGACUGCUAAUACCGGAUGAUGACGAAAGUCCAAAGAUUUAUCGCCCAGGGAUGAGCCCGCGUAGGAUUAGCUAGUUGGUGAGGUAAAGGCUCACCAAGGCGACGAUCCUUAGCUGGUCUGAGAGGAUGAUCAGCCACACUGGGACUGAGACACGGCCCAGACUCCUACGGGAGGCAGCAGUAGGGAAUAUUGGACAAUGGGCGCAAGCCUGAUCCAGCAAUGCCG
rnacentral:rRNA from 1 species